GGAGAGUACAGCUCAGUGGUAGAGUAUGUGCUUAGCGUGCACAAGAUUCUGGGUUUAAUCCCCUUCAUCUCCA
rnacentral:tRNA from 1 species